rnacentral:rRNA from 1 species
AACGAACGCUGGCGGCGCGUAUUAAGCAUGCAAGUCGAACGGGAACCUUCCCGCAAGGGGAGGGGAGAGUGGCGAACGGGUGAGUAACACGUAGGUGAUCUAUCCCCGGGUGGGGUAUAGCCCAUGGAAACAUGGGGUAAUACCGCAUGAGGUCCUGGAGCUUGAAGGCUUCUGGAUGAAAGGCGCAAUUGUGUUGCCUGGGGAUGAGCCUGCGGCUCAUUAGCUAGUUGGUGAGGGUAAAGGCCCACCAAGGCGACGAUGGGUAGCCGGCCUGAGAGGGUGUACGGCCACACUGGGACUGAGACACGGCCCAGACUCCUACGGGAGGCAGCAGCUAAGAAUCUUCCGCAAUGGGGGAAACCCUGACGGAGCGACGCCGCGUGGACGAAGAAGGCCGCAAGGUUGUAAAGUCCUUUUGCAGACGAAGAAUAAGGCUCGGAGUGGAACGCCGUGCUGAUGACGUUAGUCUGCGAAUAAGCCCCGGCCAAUUACGUGCCAGCCGCCGCGGUAACAC